GUGUUCACUUAGGCAGCACAUAUACUAAAAUAGGAACAAUGGAGAGAUUAACAUGGUCCCUGGGCAAGGCUGAUACACAGAUUCAUUGUGUUCCAUAUUUUU
rnacentral:snRNA from 1 species